rnacentral:sRNA from 1 species
CCAACUGUACACGCUUUUUAUCUAUCAUGCCCAAGAGGAUAGCAUGGGAUUCCCAAAAAUUGAGGCAAUCGCUCGCUUUAUCCAAAAGGCUUUUGACAAGAUGGAAUUCAAUACUGAAAAUGCCUACAUAUUGCUGAUUUACAUCGAAAGGU